CCUACGGGCGGCAGCAGUGGGGAAUUUUCCGCAAUGGGCGAAAGCCUGGCGGAGCAAUGCCGCGUGGAGGUAGAAGGCCCACGGGUCGUGAACUUCUUUUCCCGGAGAAGAAGCAAUGACGGUAUCUGGGGGAUAAGCAUCGGCUAACUCUGUGCCAGCAGCCGCGGUAAUACAGAGGGUGCAAGCGUUAUCCGGAAUGAUUGGGCGUAAAGCGUCUGUAGGUGGCUUUUUAAGUCCGCCGUCAAAUCCCAGGGCUCAACCCUGGACAGGCGGUGGAAACUACCAAGCUGGAGUACGGUAGGGGCAGAGGGAAUUUCCGGUGGAGCGGUGAAAUGCGUAGAGAUCGGAAAGAACACCAACGGCGAAAGCACUCCGCUGGGCCGACACUGACACUGAGAGACGAAAGCUAGGGGAGCGAAUGGGAUUAGAUACCCCAGUAGUC
rnacentral:rRNA from 1 species